CAUUUGAUGCUUCUGCAUUUGUAGGUUCAUCAAGUAACAGGUUUUUUAUUCAAGUCUGAGAUCCUAGGUUAGAACUACAAUAUAGUACUAGAAGUGCCAAGGACAUAACCAGAAAUGAUGUGAACUGUAUCUCAAGUGCUUGGACAACAUGGGCAGUUAUGGACCAGGAGAUUGUACUUGUACUUGAACCAAAGACCUCUUGGAAAGUCUUCCAUCUGUGAUAUACCCAAGUUCCAAGAAAAACUUGUCCAAGGAUGGGUUUAUUUUGAUGGUGUGUAUGAAGAAAGGCCCUUGGUCAUAUAUGAGGAGUCUGUGGCAGUGUUGAAAGAAAAGGUGACGUCUCUGAUAACUGUUCCCAAUGGUCCAUUGCUUUCAAACUUCGCUACAGCUGGAAUCCAACUCAUUUCAGAUCACCAGGUUAGCUUUCAUAAAGUCUAAUUUUCGAAUUGAUUAUAAACUCGAGGGAGGAAGAGUGGGUAAAUCCAAGAAACUGAAGUAAAAUGCAAAAUGAGUAAUUAAUUGCAUCAAAAGUUUGGAAGACUGUCGUCAUCUUGCGCCUUCAGAAAAAUGGCUAACUGUAAGUCGAAUGAAGAGUUGAGGUCUUCUCCAGUAUGUGGUUCUGUUUUGUACAUGAAUGGAGAGUGGUUGUCAUGCUUUAAUCGCAAGAAAUGGCUGAUGAAG